rnacentral:rRNA from 1 species
GAUGAACGCUGGCGGCGUGCCUAAUACAUGCAAGUCGAGCGAACAGACGUGGAGCUUGCUCCUUUGACGUUAGCGGCGGACGGGUGAGUAACACGUAGGUAACCUACCUAUAAGACUGGGAUAACUUCGGGAAACCGGAGCUAAUACCGGAUAAUAUUUCGAACCGCAUGGUUCGAUAGUGAAAGAUGGCUUUGCUAUCACUUAUAGAUGGACCUGCGCCGUAUUAGCUAGUUGGUAAGGUAACGGCUUACCAAGGCAACGAUACGUAGCCGACCUGAGAGGGUGAUCGGCCACACUGGAACUGAGACACGGUCCAGACUCCUACGGGAGGCAGCAGUAGGGAAUCUUCCGCAAUGGGCGAAAGCCUGACGGAGCAACGCCGCGUGAGUGAUGAAGGUCUUCGGAUCGUAAAACUCUGUUAUUAGGGAAGAACAAACGUGUAAGUAACUGUGCACGUCUUGACGGUACCUAAUCAGAAAGCCACGGCUAACUACGUG